rnacentral:rRNA from 1 species
CUUACACAUGCAAGUCGAACGGGAUCCAUCAGGCUUUGCUUGGUGGUGAGAGUGGCGAACGGGUGAGUAAUGCGUGACCGACCUGCCCCAUACACCGGAAUAGCUCCUGGAAACGGGUGGUAAUGCCGGAUGCUCCAGUUGAUCGCAUGGUCUUCUGGGAAAGCUUUCGCGGUAUGGGAUGGGGUCGCGUCCUAUCAGCUUGACGGCGGGGUAACGGCCCACCGUGGCUUCGACGGGUAGCCGGCCUGAGAGGGCGACCGGCCACAUUGGGACUGAGAUACGGCCCAGACUCCUACGGGAGGCAGCAGUGGGGAAUAUUGCACAAUGGGCGCAAGCCUGAUGCAGCGACGCCGCGUGAGGGAUGGAGGCCUUCGGGUUGUAAACCUCUUUUAUCGGGGAGCAAGCGAGAGUGAGUUUACCCGUUGAAUAAGCACCGGCUAACUACGUGCCAGCAGCCGCGGUA